UACGUAGGGUGCAAGCGUUAAUCGGAAUUACUGGGCGUAAAGCGUGCGCAGGCGGUUUUGUAAGUCUGUCGUGAAAGCCCCGGGCUCAACCUGGGAAUUGCGAUGGAGACUGCAAGUCUUGAAUCUGGCAGAGGGGGGUAGAAUUCCACGUGUAGCAGUGAAAUGCGUAGAGAUGUGGAGGAACACCGAUGGCGAAGGCAGCCCCCUGGGUCAAGAUUGACGCUCAUGCACGAAAGCGUGGGGAGCAAACAGG
rnacentral:rRNA from 1 species